UACGUAGGGUGCAAGCGUUAAUCGGAAUUACUGGGCGUAAAGCGUGCGCAGGCGGUUUUGUAAGUCUGACGUGAAAUCCCCGGGCUCAACCUGGGAAUUGCAUUGGAGACUGCAAGGCUAGAAUCUGGCAGAGGGGGGUAGAAUUCCACGUGUAGCAGUGAAAUGCGUAAAGAUGUGGAGGAACACCGAUGGCGAAGGCAGCCCCCUGGGUCAAGAUUGACGCUCAUGCACGAAAGCGUGGGGAGCAAACAGG
rnacentral:rRNA from 1 species